UUUGUCACGAUACGAUAUUUGCCGAUAUCUUAAAGCCUGCUGCGAUUCAUUCACGGUAUAUCACGAUAUAGUGCUCUACGAUCAAUAUAUAUAUUUUUUUUAAAUAAAAAAUAUAGAACAAUAUCCUGAUUUAUAACAAGUCAUACGCAAAAUCAACAAGGUACUGCAAACUCUUUAUUUAGGAAAUUACAAGAGUAUUUUAGUAUACAAAGUGCUUAUUUUAACACUGAACUUUUUUCUUUAAAUGUGCGGCGAGAUUUGUGGUCCCUGAAUAAUUGAUCACCGCAUGGCAGGAUUUACAAACUGCACGUGUCUUGUCCGUUGAGCCAUCUUUUCUUUGGAAUCCAAAGUGCUUCCAAACGAAUGACUUGAAGCCUAAAGGGGAGCAAAUUUCCUCGUCUUUUUGGACACUAGCCUUAGCACCAGCCCAGGAGCCGCGUACCAGUUGUCGACUCCCCUUUCACGUGCCUGCUCUGCUCACAACACAACGCCGCGGCGCGCACUGCUCCCGGAAAGAGGAAGCAAGCAACAAUGAACUGGAUUUCAAAAUAAAGUCGCGUCUAAUGUCCGAGGUCAAACACGGCGAUAUAAAUCUAUGUUUACCUUUAGCAUCGAUGCCAAUAAAUCGUCGAGCAUUAUAUCGAUUAAUCGAUGUGUAUCGAUGAAUCGUUACACCCCUAAUAUAUAUGUAUAUGUAUAUAUAUGUAUUUGUGUAUAUAUAUAUAUAUAUAUAUGUAUAUAUAUAUAUAUACGUAUAUGAAUAAGAGCCUCCUUCAGGGAAACUACCCCUUCACGUUUCUUAAUUCCUCUGUGCCUGCGUGUCAUUUCCUACUGUCUGAUGUGACACAGAGAACAGAACCGAGAUGUUCCUCGUCUGGCACAAAAGCCUGAGUUGUGUGUGAUGAGGAAUAUAUGUACGUGGAUACGCUCACAUGUAUCCUGCAUUCCUGUGACAUUCGUGCACGCAUGGACAUGCACGUUUACUGGGUCAAAGUCAUGUUUUCACGCAAAGCCCACAUGAGUGAGACGCAGCUGAGACACGCGUAGAUAAGAAGUGACAUGUUGACUAAAUAGAGAAUAGGAUGCGCACCAUUCGCCUCUGAGUGGUGAAUGAUCAUGCAUGAUGUGCACUGUUGCAUAAGCGUGGAGUCUAACCUUUCCCCUGCCAAUGCAUGACUCACAAGCUGGAUGCCAAAGGUAAUCUGCCGUAGUUUGUGUCUGACCCUAGUCAGACCCUUCAACACAUCUUAAAUAGCAAAAAUAAAAAAAGUCAUGUUUUGAACUUCCUAUGGGGGGGUGGUAAUGUAAUUGUUCGUUAGACUAAAAGUAUUAUGGAAAAUGAAUGGCAGAAUUUUCUCACGAUCCCGUACCUCACCGAGCCAUGAGUGUUUGCACGUGUAGCGAAUGUUGGUAUUUUUUCAGGGUUCCUAAAACGAUUGCAAAACAUUUUUCCCUUCCGCUCAGAAAUAGUUAAAAAUUUGUUAUCGACAAAAAAAACUGUUUGCAGUCAAUAAAACAGUUUGGAACAUCUUCGCAACUGUUUGCAAGUGUUUGCAACUGUUUGCAACAUUCAAUGAAUUUUAAACCGAUUUGCGGCAUUAUUAUGAUUAUGUAUUUAUUAUUGCUGUUGAAGCUGUGUGUAUGUUUCAUGUGUGUCAUAUUUGAAAUGAUUCGAGGAUUGCUCUGAAGGCCACUGCUGUGACCCCAAUUGCCCUCCCCGCGAUUGUCUCUAUGGUUACACAAAAUGAGAGUCCCGCAGGUAAAGAUGCGCCGAUUACGAUGAUGGUGUAGUCGGUCAUCCGGGUUUUCCUCGUGGCUCUUCGCUUUUUGCAUCAGGUUCACCGUGCAGCCAGCUCACAUGACCUCUGUCACCUAGCCCGAGGCGACACAUAGCAGGGCUUCGGACUCGUCGGACUCUGUCAUUUUUGCCGGACUCGGACUCAGUGCUGAUUUUGACCAGGUCCGCCAAUAAAAAAAAUACGUUCAAUUUUAUUUUCAUCAUGCUGCUGAGAAUGCGUGUAGGAAUACUGUCCACAGCCCUGCUUGCUUGUUAUGAAGACAAAUUUAGUUGUUGCGUGCGUGCCCGCGCCUGCCUGCCUGCGUGCGUGCAGCCAAGAUGGAAGAACUCGGGAGCAGCGAGAGAACAAUGUUUUGCCUCUAGAUUUGGGGGGGAAACGAUAAGGGGGGUAAGUUACAAUCAAUGCGGCCACGUUGAGUUGCACUUAGGCUAAUGUUUACAUUAUGUACCAAUGUCAAGGACGAUUGUCACCCAGCUUAUAUCAUUGAUGUGUUUCGAUAGUUGUGGGGUCGUCACUAAUUAUUUGUGUUUAGAUAAAUGUCUGAGCUAUAAUUGUGUAAUUAAUGAUUAAAACUUGAAAGUAUCUGUUCAUUGUAUUCGUUAUAUGUUUAAUAAAGACAAAGCCAUCACAAAA